rnacentral:rRNA from 1 species
GACGGAGGGUGCUAGCGUUGUUCGGAAUUACUGGGCGUAAAGCGCGUGUAGGCUGCUUCGCAAGUCGGAUGUGAAAGCCCUGGGCUCAACCCAGGAAGUGCAUUCGAAACUGCAGAGCUGGAGUCCUGGAGAGGAAGGCGGAAUUCUCGGUGUAGAGGUGAAAUUCGUAGAUAUCGAGAGGAACACCGGUGGCGAAGGCGGCCUUCUGGACAGUGACUGACGCUGAGACGCGAAAGCGUGGGGAGCAAACAGG